GCGCUCGUAGCUCAGCUGGAUUCAGCUGGAUAGAGCAUCGGAUUUCGAUUCCGAGGGUUGGGAGUUCGAAUUUCUCCGAGCGCGCCA
rnacentral:tRNA from 1 species